AGUGAACGCUGGCGGUAGGCCUAACACAUGCAAGUCGAACGGCAGCACAGUAAGAGCUUGCUCUUACGGGUGGCGAGUGGCGGACGGGUGAGGAAUACAUCGGAAUCUACUUUUUCGUGGGGGAUAACGUAGGGAAACUUACGCUAAUACCGCAUACGACCUACGGGUGAAAGCAGGGGAUCUUCGGACCUUGCGCGAUUGAAUGAGCCGAUGUCGGAUUAGCUAGUUGGCGGGGUAAAGGCCCACCAAGGCGACGAUCCGUAGCUGGUCUGAGAGGAUGAUCGGCGACACUGGAAGGGGGACAAGGUCAAGACGCCUACGGGAGGCAGCAGUGGGGAAGAUGGGGCAAUGGGCGCAAGCCUGAUACAAACAUACCGCGUGGGUGAAAAAGACCUUGGGGUUGGAAAGCCCUUUUGUUGGGAAAGAAAAGAAGCAGGUUAAGACCCCGCUGUUCUGACGGUACCCGAAGAAUAAGCACCGGCUAACUUCGUG
rnacentral:rRNA from 1 species